CACGUAGGGCGCAAGCGUUGUCCGGAAUUAUUGGGCGUAAAGAGCUCGUAGGCGGUCUGUUGCGUCCGCUGUGAAAAACUCGGGGCUUAACCCCGGGCCUGCAGUGGGUACGGGCAGACUAGAGUGCGGUAGGGGAGACUGGAAUUCCUGGUGUAGCGGUGAAAUGCGCAGAUAUCAGGAGGAACACCGGUGGCGAAGGCGGUUCUCUGGGCAUUACCUGACGCUGAGGAGCGAAAGUGUGGGGAGCGAACAGG
rnacentral:rRNA from 1 species